AUGCUCAGUACAUCUUUCUGAUGAAGAGAAAACCUUCAAACAUGCAGAGAAAGGUUUUCAUGACUGUUUAUCGUCGUGGACAAAUCUGCCAUUUAAAAGAACACACUCGAAAACGCCAGGCAUCCAAUGUCCGUAGGGGAAAAAUUGCAAAAGUCAUCCAUAAAGGAGUGAGCCAAGUUUACUACAGAAAGCUCCGGAGGACUCCUGUGGAAGAAAUUAUGGCAGGAAAUGUAACGAGGUCUCUUAACAGAGACAUCUUAAAAGUAAUUUCCUCUGAGGUAAAAAAGGCUGCAUCACUACAUGACAAUGUCUUGUUAGAAAUGCAUUUAACACAAAAAAUUAUGAAGGAAUGUGACACCAGUUAUAGACAUUUGCCAGGUUACAUUCAAAACUACCAGGUGGAUCCUUUCAGCUGUCACAUGUACACUGAAAAGGGAAUUUCAAUCUUAGUGACACAUAUGAGGAAAAAGUCACCAGUAACCCUCUAUUUGGAUGCCACUGGUAGUGUCGUGUCUAAAAUACCAGAACAGAAAAAGAGAGUUUUGUACUAUGCCCUUGUUUUGGCAGGUCAGGGCCAUUGCACACCACCUUUGCCCAUUGCUGAAAUGCUGUCAAAUGACCACACUGUGCCAUCUGUUUCUUUCUGGCUGAUGCAGCUUGUGCACAACCUGUCAAAGUUCACUACACUGACAAUCAGGUAUUUGGAAACAGAUUAUAGUUGGGCACUCAUACAAGCUGUUCUACUGGCUUUCAAUAAAGAGAGCAUUCUGUCAUACCUUGACAGAUGUUUUGAUGUUUGCCAGGGCAAGAAUGAUGGGAUGGACAGCAAAAGCUUCACAGUGAUACACAUUUGUUCAGCCCAUGUGCUUAAAGCUGUGGCCCAGGCAAUUUGCAGGCAUGUGACCGACAAGGGACACAGAGAGUUUGUGAUUUUUGUGUUCGCAAGAUUGCAAAAUAGCCAGACUCUAGAUGAAGCAAUUAGGAUCUUUCAGGCUCUUUGCAUUGUCCUUAAUACAAGGACAAAUACUGCUUCUGUACAGGACAGUAUUAAGGCUCUUCAAGAACUCAUUCAGUUCUUCAUCCUUGACAUACCCAUGCCUGAAAACAGAGUCCAGGUGAACACUGCAGAUGACAAGGAUGAGCAGUCUAGAACAAUUG
ensembl:lncRNA